GGCUCUGUAAGCUGGGGUCACUAAAUGGGAAGUAAUGGAGACCUGAAGGCUGCCACGAGAUAAGCCACCACUGCCCUGCAGCUUCCUGAAUUUUGCUCUGCUAUUUAUUGUAUUUCCACCAGUGGAUUUCUGACUGAGUUGUCCAGCCACUGUCCUGCUGGGACUGAUAAGCAACAAUACCUUGAUCCAUCCUUGCAUCAGGUUUCUUCUUGAUAAACUGUAAGCUGACAAGAACUG
rnacentral:lncRNA from 1 species